rnacentral:ncRNA from 1 species
UACUAUAAAGGGGAGUAUUACCCUUUAUAGUAGCAAUGUAUCGUGUAGCA